UUUUUUUGAACCGCAUGGUUCGAAAUUGAAAGGCGGCUUCGGCUGUCACUUAUGGAUGGACCCGCGUCGCAUUAGCUAGUUGGUGAGGUAACGGCUCACCAAGGCAACGAUGCGUAGCCGACCUGAGAGGGUGAUCGGCCACACUGGGACUGAGACACGGCCCAGACUCCUACGGGAGGCAGCAGUAGGGAAUCUUCCGCAAUGGACGAAAGUCUGACGGAGCAACGCCGCGUGAGUGAUGAAGGCUUUCGGGUCGUAAAACUCUGUUGUUAGGGAAGAACAAGUGCUAGUUGAAUAAGCUGGCACCUUGACGGUACCUAACCAGAAAGCCACGGCUAACUACGUGCCAGCAGCCGCGGUAAUACGUAGGUGGCAAGCGUUAUCCGGAAUUAUUGGGCGUAAAGCGCGCGCAGGUGGUUUCUUAAGUC
rnacentral:rRNA from 1 species